UACGAAGGGGGCUAGCGUUGUUCGGAAUUACUGGGCGUAAAGCGCACGUAGGCGGAUAUUUAAGUCAGGGGUGAAAUCCCAGAGCUCAACUCUGGAACUGCCUUUGAUACUGGGUAUCUUGAGUAUGGAAGAGGUAAGUGGAAUUGCGAGUGUAGAGGUGAAAUUCGUAGAUAUUCGCAGGAACACCAGUGGCGAAGGCGGCUUACUGGUCCAUAACUGACGCUGAGGUGCGAAAGCGCGGGGAGCAAACAGGG
rnacentral:rRNA from 1 species